CGCUUUCACUGAAGCACAUUGUCAAAGAAGCGCUGUCUUUUUAAAUAAACUGCCGAUUCGAGUUUAAAACAACUACAUUCUCGCCUGAAAUACUCUUAAAACUACAUUUUGUGACACAUUAGAUGAUUUUUUUUUAAACUUGCGGGUCUGCAAAGCGGGGAUUGUCCAUUGACUUUCGCUUAGCAUUAGCAGGCAGCCAGCAGAUUUGAAUUCGUGUUGUCCAAUAGGAUUUUGCCCGCGCCGUGCAUUCAUAUUGCGAGCUGAUUACGUGCGACGGUUAAUCUCCAGCUGUUGCACUGUUCUGACGCUCUUCUCGCCGCCGAUGGAGGAUGGACCUGAAGGACUCAAAGAAGCUGGAAUACGCUCGUGAAGACGAAGCACAGACAUUUGCAGAAAAUGAAGUGGACGAGGAAGCAGUAGUGUAAUAACGUAAUUGCUGCAAUUGGUGAGGAUGCAUCAUCUUUUGGGAGUAAUGCAAAUGUCCUUCGUAUCCAGUGAAAUAAGUCAUGGUGAACCUGACUGAAUGCAUUCAUCAACCAUCUCCAACCAAG